CCGCACGUGUGAAACUUGAAGGAAUUGACGGAAGGGCACCACAAGAACGCGUGGAGCAUGUGGCUUAAUUUGACUCAACGCGGGAAAUCUUACCGGGUCCGGACACACUGAGGAUUGACAGGCAAUAUCUCAUGUUUAAUAACCGUUAUUAACAUAUCGCGUUAUUUAAUACAUCGAGUGUUAAAUAUGCUAGUCCUUUCAUGAUUAUGUGAUAGGUGGUGCAUGGCCGUUCUUAGUUCGUGGAGUGAUCUGUCUGCUUAAUUGCGUUUCACUAAGGGCCCCAUAAAUUCAAGGUAUGUUAGCUAUCUGUCGCUCUAUGGACCCCUUAACCGAGUUAAAUCGAGUUAAGCGCGCGUCUUUAUUUAAAGGGUUUAAGACAUACGCAUGCUGUUGGGCUCUGAAAGCAACGAACGUGACCG
rnacentral:rRNA from 1 species